rnacentral:rRNA from 1 species
UUGAAGAGUUUGAUCAUGGCUCAGAUUGAACGCUGGCGGCAGGCCUAACACAUGCAAGUCGAGCGGUAGCACAGAGAGCUUGCUCUCGGGUGACGAGCGGCGGACGGGUGAGUAAUGUCUGGGAAACUGCCUGAUGGAGGGGGAUAACUACUGGAAACGGUAGCUAAUACCGCAUAACGUCGCAAGACCAAAGUGGGGGACCUUCGGGCCUCAUGCCAUCAGAUGUGCCCAGAUGGGAUUAGCUAGUAGGUGGGGUAACGGCUCACCUAGGCGACGAUCCCUAGCUGGUCUGAGAGGAUGACCAGCCACACUGGAACUGAGACACGGUCCAGACUCCUACGGGAGGCAGCAGUGGGGAAUAUUGCACAAUGGGCGCAAGCCUGAUGCAGCCAUGCCGCGUGUGUGAAGAAGGCCUUCGGGUUGUAAAGCACUUUCAGCGGGGAGGAAGGCGUUAAGGUUAAUAACCUUGGCGAUUGACGUUACCCGCAGAAGAAGCACCGGCUAACUCCGUGCCAGCAGCCGCGGUAAUACGGAGGGUGCAAGCGUUAAUCGGAAUUACUGGGCGUAAAGCGCACGCAGGCGGUCUGUCAAGUCGGAUGUGAAAUCCCCGGGCUUAACCUGGGAACUGCAUUCGAAACUGGCAGGCUAGAGUCUUGUAGAGGGGGGUAGAAUUCCAGGUGUAGCGGUGAAAUGCGUAGAGAUCUGGAGGAAUACCGGUGGCGAAGGCGGCCCCCUGGACAAAGACUGACGCUCAGGUGCGAAAGCGUGGGGAGCAAACAGGAUUAGAUACCCUGGUAGUCCACGCCGUAAACGAUGUCGAUUUGGAGGUUGUGCCCUUGAGGCGUGGCUUCCGGAGCUAACGCGUUAAAUCGACCGCCUGGGGAGUACGGCCGCAAGGUUAAAACUCAAAUGAAUUGACGGGGGCCCGCACAAGCGGUGGAGCAUGUGGUUUAAUUCGAUGCAACGCGAAGAACCUUACCUGGUCUUGACAUCCACAGAACUUAGCAGAGAUGCUUUGGUGCCUUCGGGAACUGUGAGACAGGUGCUGCAUGGCUGUCGUCAGCUCGUGUUGUGAAAUGUUGGGUUAAGUCCCGCAACGAGCGCAACCCUUAUCCUUUGUUGCCAGCGGUCCGGCCGGGAACUCAAAGGAGACUGCCAGUGAUAAACUGGAGGAAGGUGGGGAUGACGUCAAGUCAUCAUGGCCCUUACGACCAGGGCUACACACGUGCUACAAUGGCAUAUACAAAGAGAAGCGACCUCGCGAGAGCAAGCGGACCUCAUAAAGUAUGUCGUAGUCCGGAUUGGAGUCUGCAACUCGACUCCAUGAAGUCGGAAUCGCUAGUAAUCGUAGAUCAGAAUGCUACGGUGAAUACGUUCCCGGGCCUUGUACACACCGCCCGUCACACCAUGGGAGUGGGUUGCAAAAGAAGUAGGUAGCUUAACCUUCGGGAGGGCGCUUACCACUUUGUGAUUCAUGACUGGGGUGAAGUCGUAACAAGGUAACCGUAGGGGAACCUGCGGUUGGAUCACCUCCUU